UACGUAGGGGGCAAGCGUUGUCCGGAUUUAUUGGGCGUAAAGAGCGUGUAGGCGGCCAGAUAGGUCCGUUGUGAAAACUGGAGGCUUAACCUCCAGCGGUCGAUGGAAACCAUCUGGCUAGAGUCCGGAAGAGGAGAGUGGAAUUCACGGUGUAGCAGUGAAAUGCGUAGAUAUCGUGAGGAAGACCGGUGGCGAAGGCGGAUCUCUGGACAGUUCCUGACGCUGAGGCGCGAAGGCCAGGGGAGCAAACGGG
rnacentral:rRNA from 1 species